GGCGGUGGGGCAUCCGUGGGGCCGCAAGGCCGCUGCGGGAAGACACGGCUGGUGAAUCCAUCGUGCCGCGCAGACUGUAAAUCUGCCGGCUUAGCCUUCCCAGGUUCGAAUCCUGGCGCCGCCA
rnacentral:tRNA from 1 species